UGAACUAUACUGUGUAGGGUGUAGGGCGCUGGUCAACAGUAGUGAACUAUACUGUGUAGGUGAUCUCAGACGUAUAGGGUGUAGGGCGCUGGUCAACAGUAGUGAACUCUACUGUGUAGGUGAUCUCAGGCGUAUAGGGUGUAGGGCGCUGGUCAACAGUAGUGAACUCUACUGUGUAGGUGAUCUCAGACGUAUAGGGUGUAGGGCGCUGGUCAACAGUAGUGAACUCUACUGUGUAGGUGAUCUCAGACGUAUAGGGUGUAGGGCGCUGGUCAACAGUAGUGAACUCUACUGUGUAGGUGAUCUCAGACGUAUAGGGUGUAGGGCGCUGGUCAACAGUAGUGAACUCUACUGUGUAGGUGAUCUCAGACGUAUAGGGUGUAGGGCGCUGGUCAACAGUAGUGAACUCUACUGUGUAGGUGAUCUCAGACGUAUAGGGUGUAGGGCGCUGGUCAACAGUAGUGAACUCUACUGUGUAGGUGAUCUCAGACGUAUAGGGUGUAGGGCGCUGGUCAACAGUAGUGAACUCUAAUGUGUAGGUGAUCUCAGA